rnacentral:tRNA from 2 species
AGGGCAGUAGCUCAGUUGGUAGAGCAUCGGUCUCCAAAACCGAAGGUCGCAGGUUCGACCCCUGUCUGCCCUG